CUCAUUCUCUGCACCACUGCUGACCUCAUUGUCUCUUUGUGAAGGGAAAAUCCAGAGUUGCAUUCUGUUAAAUGGCAAAAGGUGCAUCAACUGCGAGCGGGACAGACCUGUCUGCGUCCAGCACUGGCCUACAGAUGAACACGGACACCGCUGUUUUUUCCUCCGGACUGUACACAAGGGAAACAUGAGUCCUGAUGGAGACACGUUAUCAGUGAUUGAGAACCCAGCGGCUGUCAGUCCUGCGAUUCACUCAGGGAAAACAGCUGGAGCUGCAGAGACCAAGGCAGUGCAGGGCUGGUUAAAAGGGAUCCAUUCGACGACUUACGCUCACAGGCUUGUGAGGGUGCUGGCAGCAGUGUGUGCAGUUGGACUCCUGGGAGGCUUAGCUGUAGGUGUCUGGUUUCUAGUCAAACUUCUGCUGAGGCCUUCCUCCUCCCAAAGUCCAGUGGGACUUGGGGACACAAAGGAGACAUCUUUCUGCAAUGUGACGGAAGAUAUUUCGAACUCUGAUCCCAGGAAAGGUCUGCGUUUACUGCUUUAUUUGGUAUUGUUUUUCUGAAUUAACAAAGAGUGCACCGUUGUUUAGUUAUUUAUCUUACUGACAUGCUAUUUAUUAUACAGGGUCAUGGUUUGCAUGUGAAGUGAUUUUUAGUUGAACAGAAGAAAACUUAUCAUUCAAU
rnacentral:lncRNA from 1 species